CCGAUCUGUGCACUGUGCUCUCCUCGCCGCCUCUGCCUGCCGCCGCCCUCGGUCUUCUUCUCCGGCCGUCCGCCGCCUGUCCUCUUUCCCCUCCAUAUCUGCCCCUAAUAUUCUCUGGCGCCACCCACAGCCUCCUCAAUCUCCAACCUCUUGUUCCUGUGCUUCUCUGAUUUGGAUCGAGAUGGGAGUCCUGGAUCGAGUUAGGGUCCGUGGUCUUCUCCAACACAAAGCCAUGGAGUGCCCGGCCCGAAUAGGACUUGGCUGCCAUAAGAAGGAAGAAUCCUCGACCAGAGUCUGCCCCUGGCAGGACCUCAACAACGACCUGUAGGUCUGGCCUCUCUCUCUCGACUCCCUUCUUUUUGCGACCUCAAGAAUCUGCAGCGGCUCAUCCUCGAGGCCAAGCUCGUGUAAUUAUGACGACUCCGGAUCCAAUUUGAUUCCUGUUGCAGCUAUAUUCGAGACUCAACUGGUCCAAGUGAUGCACCAAGGGGAUUUGCACCAGCUUUCAGGAGCCGUAAAACCAGUUGCCACUUUCCAGAUUGUUGAUAUUAGAGGUAGGAUCAAUGGGGUGAUUGGUACUUACAGCAGCCGGUGAAAAUCAACGACAUUACUGAAUCAUUGAAGCUUCUUGGUAGUUCCCAGGUUAUAAAUUCCUAUGAUUUCAGAUGUACAUUAGUCCAGGAAUGCAGCAGGCCAGAACAAUGGACAAUGAUGGUACUAUGAGUGGCUAGGUAUUGACUUACUGGGUCAAGUUGCUGGUGACUCUAUGAGGUGUGCAAAAUCUGGAUCUGUGAAUCCCCCUGGUUGCCUUGAGGGAUAGAUGCUGCAAAUAGGUCAAGGUUAGUUAUAUUUCUUCUUUGCCACUUUAUCUGGAUAAUCCUCUCUAGCCAGAUCACUUAAGACGAUAUAAUCUGCUAUUUACUUUCUAUGUGGUUUCAGCAUGAGCAAGAUCACUUUAAGACGAUAUAUAUUCAGCGACCCAUGUGAUAUUUACUUUCUAUGCGUUUUAGCAUGUUCACACUCUUUAGAAGUACGCAAAUGGGCAGAUUUUGAUUUGACGACUUGGUGUCUUAAUUGUUCUGGCUGAAUAUUGGAUUCCUGGUCCUUAUGUUAUCUACUUGUCAUAUGUUUCUGGCUGGAUGUCUACUGGUUCUCUCAAGGCCACGUUAGUUUCGAUCGACACUAUAUAUAUAUCUACAUAACAGUUUCAAUUGGAUCACAUAACAUUCUUUUUCCUGCAAUAUUACAUGGUUAAUUGGACUUGAAUUAGCUGUGUGGUUCAUGUGCACAUUGUGCUUGGUUAACCAUUCAGUUAUCACAAAUCGAUGGGAUAAACACAAAGUAUGCAUUUCCAUCUAUCCUUCUGAUCAUGUUGGUAUUAAUCAAGUGGUAUUAAAAGUCUGAGACUGCAGGCAUGCAGUUUAGGUUGUUCAUACAAUAAUCUACAUUAGGACGUGCUUGUAAAAUCAACACCAGUACUUGUUCCUUCAGGUUGCUAGAAAUCCUUCUGGCUACAUCACUAUUUCUGUCACAAACUGUAAUAAUUUGUUUUCUUGUCUCGGUAUGGAUAGUCAAAUUGUACGAGUAGUAACUUUGUAGAAGGAAUGCAGUCCCUUAAUCUAACAUCGAUUUGUCUCGGUAUAGACAGUAAAAUUGUACGAUUAGUAAGUUUGUAGAAAAAAUGUAGUCCCUUAAUCUAAUAGCGAUUUGACUUUUUAUGUGACACAUAACAUUUUGUAACUGUAAAGACACCUCCAGAUGUUGUGAUUCUGCAAAUUAUCUAGGACAUGCUUAUGCUUUUGCAAUACCUCUCUGAUUAUCUAUGAAGCUGCAAAAGUUCUAGCUGCCAAAUAAUUAAUGUUCGAUUGUUAACUCCAAACAUGAUAUCACUAUCGCAUUACACAUGUAUGUUUUUUCCAUAAAAGGCAAACUAAUAUACAAGUUUACCUAUAGCUGAUAUGUUGUAUUGGAAGUAAUAGUGCGAGGGCAGCCAAGCAAGUUUCUGUAUGGGUGAGAGGUUCCAGUGGACAGAGGUGAUCUGGACCAUUGUAUGUACUGAGUACUCUGAUGUUUGAUCAACCCAUUACCUCAAAAAAAAUAUUUUGUAUUUAUAGUCAAAAAGGAAAAGUAGUGUCAGCCUAUAAUGCAUCCACUAAUUAUCUAUCUAGAUAGCCAAUGCAAAUUACUAAGCAGGUUGCAUUCGAAUCUGACAUGUGAAUUCAUAGAUGGAGACAAAACAAGUCGUGCAUGGAUGGCCGUAGAGGAGCAAACCCAGGCUAUGCAUUACUAUUUGUACCUAGCAUUUUUUGGUUUUGUUUCUUAGAAGCGCAAUAAUUUAUUUUCCAAAAUUAAGCUUUACUUGUUAACCUGUGUAUGGUGUUUGCAGAGAAAACACAGGUUUACAAAAACCCUUUUUGAAGCGUGCAUAUAUGGCUGUAAUUUUCUUAUGCUUGCUUUAUAAGGAACUAUCUGAUUUUUCUGAUAUGUAUUUCAAACAAUUAUUGGGAUCUACCUUUUAUAUCAACACUAUAAUAUUUGAACUUAUAUUUUCAGAUAUUUCAUUUUUUGCAUGAGCUAAGGCACAAUUUUUUGCAUGAUGUUCCGUGCAUCUGGAUUGCAUUUAACUCACAAUAAUAGAUGAAGGCGUAUAGGAAAUUUGUGAUUGCCAAUAAUUACACCGUCUUCCAAAAUCUUACCGACAACUAGAAUGGCUCUUUGUAUACCAUUAGCAAUGUUUUAUCUCAUGGAUUUUUAUCAUCUUUGUCCACUCCGUCUGCCCUUAGGAUGGCUCGUUUUUGCGCUAUUUGCUAUAAUUCCUCCUGCUUGCUGCCUAUUGGCGUGCUUGAAUUGGGAGGCGGAGGUAGAGAGUGGACAACAAAGAAGAAGAAUUUAAAGGGACAAAGAGAAGUCAACAAUGAUGGCUCUUGCCGCAAAGUCUGAAUUAUUGUUUAAAAAAAGGGAGGUUUGAUUUAAUUUAAUUUGUUGUUAUUAGUGGAAAUGGAUCAUAUGUUGAAUCAACCAUUGUUAUGGGCUUUUAGUAGGACGGUGUUGGUUACUUUGUCUUUGUUUUCGGACAAUCAACCCACAAUCCAGGUUUGUAAGUGACUAAAAAACAAUCCGCUUCUGAAUUGGGAGCUCCACCCCAUAUCUCUUUCCCGACACCCAGCACAGCCUGUCCUCGUCUGACUUUUGGCACUGUCAGCCCUCCUUGCUGACUUCCGGCCUUUCCCUGAGCUGCGGCCAACGUUGUACGACGUCAACGACACCUGAGGCCACCCCCGUGCCAUUGCAGUUUCCAUCUAGGACAAUCAUAGCUUUCUUGAGCUCCGUCAUCCGUUUGCAUGCCAACUGUUCGGCCAAUUGACCCAACAGAGUGGUGGUAAUUUUCUGUUUUUUUAUUUCAUGUUCCAUUUAAUACUGACGUUAUCACGACCACAACCACUGGACAAGACUAAUAUUAUGAGGAAGGCAUCAAUAGUGUUCUCAUCGAAUGGGUUGUGCAGCUCUGUUUUGACCUGUAUUUCUAGGGCUCUACCACGCUAAGCCUAGAAGGUAUGCAACUGGUUAUCCUACCUCCCUUCUUUCAAAGAACAUGGUUAUCCUACCUCUAUCCAUGACAAUGUCCAUUUUCUUUUGGUAGUGAUGAUCCGCAUCAAGUUUCUGUUUGUAGUAAAAUAUAUAUACCCUUUGUUGCGUUCAUUUCUUAGUGUCAGUUGACUUCUCAAGUGUCUUCCUUUGUGAGAUUUAAUGGUUUGAGUAUAUUUUAAUUUUUGGAUGUGAUGAAUUAUCCAAGUGACUAAUAUUUUAGCAGUUUGUGGCAAUGCUAAUAAAGGAUUUCAAUUUUCAAGUUAUGUAAAUUACGCCCAAAAUUCUGGGACCUUGUGAUUGAAUCGAAUACUAAAAAGAAUCUAUGAGGUACAGCAAGUAUGCUAUGGAGCUAAAGUGCAGCCCUGUAUCUGUUAGUUAGAAGAUUUUCUUGUGACCUGUGUUACAUUCUGUUUUCUUGACUUAGUUAUUUCUUCUUGAUGGGCACUUGUGUUGCCAUAAAUUGAACAAUUGUCACUUUUUUCCGCGGCUGUCAUGGAUACAAUUCAAGGACUUCUAGACAUCAUUAUAUAUUUUCUUAACUGGCUUUUAUGGUGAGUAUGUUUUGCUGUCUUGUCAACUGUUGGAGAGGGGCAGUGCUAUGAUGAAGAAUAAAAUUUGAAUUUGGAAGGAGCCUUUGUAAUCUCUUGUUAACAAGUAUGCAACAUCUGUUUACGGUUCAUUAAGAAUGAUAUUUACCAAUACACUGGCAGCAUAUACCUUAUAUACUUAUAAGUUCUUAUGUGCUAUCUCCAUCCCUAGAAUUUAUGUAUCAAUUCUGCAAUUUCUUGGCAUUGCUGCUUUGGGAAUAUUGACUUGGAGCUUUUGCUGAAUGGUAUUGUGCUCCAGAAGCUAGAGUUUGAAAGGUAUGUCCUGGUGCUCCUCACUUUCUGGGAUGAUCAAUCACCUAUUAUACAUGGCGACCUACACAGGACAAGCCCAAGCAAGCAUCUUGGUUGAUUUCAUGAGGAAGCUAGCUAGCUAUGUAUACCAAGCUAGCUGAUCAAAAGGCACACAAUCAGUGUAUGCACGCAAGAGUUGUCGGCAGCUAAAAUCAUGAAGCAACGGACUGACAAUCGUGGCCAACAUACAAGCAGGCGAAGACAGCCAAUGUAUUUGCAUGUUUUCUUGACUUAGACUGCAAUGCAGUUAGUUUUCAUGAAAUAAAUUAUUUUGCCAUCUGGUCUUUAGAUGCAGACAUCCAGUAGAUUAAAUGUAUAGACUUCGGCACAUACUUCAAAGUUUGAGAGGUAACCAAAAUAGUUGAUACAAUUUUGGGAGACAAACAGAAUACUUUUACUUGAAGCUCCUUUUCUUUUGAAAUCAUAAUCUGAUGUUCCAAUAAAAGAGGAUACUUUUGCAACAUGUGCGUUUUUUGGAUGUUCUGUUGAAAUAGAGUACAUGGACGUGUUGUUGUGUGGGGGGAUGAGGGUGUGUAUGUUUGGCGCGGAGAUGUAUUUUAUUUUU